rnacentral:ribozyme from 1 species
UUUGCCACACAUUUUUAUUUUUCCCCCGUUUCUCCCUUUUGUUCUUUUCUUUUUGAUUUAUUUCACUUUUCACCAAAAUCAAUUCCCCCAAAAAACA